rnacentral:rRNA from 1 species
GUCCACACUGUAAACGAUGAUUACUAGGUGUGGGGACUGACCCCUUCCGUGCCGGAGUUAACACAAUAAGUAAUCCACCUGGGGAGUACGGCCGCAAGGUUGAAACUCAAAGGAAUUGACGGGGCCCGCACAAGCAGUGGAGUAUGUGGUUUAAUUCGAAGCAACGCGAAGAACCUUACCAGGUCUUGACAUCGUGCGCAUAGUAUAGAGAUAUAUGAAGUCCUUCGGGACGCAUAGACAGGUGGUGCAUGGUUGUCGU